AUAAAUGUACAAAGAUAAACGUGAUGAGACGUUCUCAGGAUCCUGAUAUGUUUGGGUUAUUAUCAGUUCAGCUCAGAGCUUUUUGACAUGAAGCUUCAGCGCUGUGCUAAUUACGAAGCGUACUUCGGUGCAGGAACUAAACUGACUGUUCUCGAAGAAGGACUUAAGGUCACUCCACCGACAGUCAGAGUUCUCCCAGCUUCUCCAAAGGAGUGUGGACACCAGAGUAAGACCAUCGUUUGUGUGGCCAGUGGAUUCUACCCGGAUCAUGUCAGCUUCUCCUGGACCGACAAAGAGGGCGAGGUCAGCUCAGGUGUGGCGACGGACAGCGAGGCCGUGCUGGAAGAAGGAAAGACCUACGUGAUGAGCAGCAGGCUGAGGGUCUCUGCUGAAGAGUGGAACAAUCCUGACAAUGAAUUCACCUGCACCGUCCACUUCUUUGACGGGAAACAAAAGCUCCCUUACUCUGCUUCAGUUAAAGGAAUAGAAGCUGAAAGAAAAACCAUCACCAGAGACAAAUAUCUGAAGGUCACGCAGAGCGCCAAACUGACGUACAGCGUGUUCAUCGUGAAGAGCUGUUUCUACGGAGCGUUUGUAGCUUUUCUGCUGCUCAAGUUUCAGUGA